GGCUGGUUGGCGCAAUGGUAGCGCGUGUCUCUCCUAUUGUGUAAAGACAAGGUUGAGGGUUCGAGUCCCUUGCUGUUCG